rnacentral:tRNA from 1 species
GGCCGUGUGCCCGAGUGGUUCAGGGGCCCGCCUGCAAAGCGGGUUACGUGGGUUCGAAUCCCGCCACGGCCUCCA